UUGCAGACAUGACAUUAGCUGAUCCGUAGAAAUCCAUACGUAUCAUCUGAAGCGGCUCAGUAAUGUUAAUCAUAUCUUUGCUUCUGUGCGAUGCUCCUUCGACUUCCCUAUUUUGACAUAACUCAUAUCCUACAUCCAAUUUGAAUUCCAGAUGAGGUAGUCCUCUCACCAAUGCUCUUCUUACUAAUAAAAAGAGCUCCUUGUUUUGACAUACAAGUUUGAGAGCUUCAAGUGCCAUAGCUAAUACUCAUCUGAUGAGGCUUCACUAUCAAAACAGCUCACUCCAUCUUCAGUUGAAGUUCCAUAUUAGCUACGAGCAAAAUUCACAUCCUUCCUGAUUUGAGAUAAAACACUAUUCCAUGAACUGACAUACUGUCAUUUGUUAGAGAACAGUCUGAUACUAGGAAUUUGUGUGCUUUGACUCUUCCAAGAAAGAUAUUCUUCCAUGAUGACAUUCCAGGAAAACAGGCAUGUCCCGUAAGAGAAUCUUUGUUGUCAUCUUUCAAAGAUUAUUGACGGAACUGCUCACACGAUCACAUUUGCUGACAGGGUACUUUUGGUAAAUAUAUGAUUUCAGCUACUCAGCAAACAGAGUGCACCAAAAAUCAUAUGGAACAUAUGUAACCUGCAAUCACAAAUGGAAAGAGUUCUAUGGUCCCCAAUCAUAACUGGGUCCGGUUGGAUUAGAGAUUUUUCUUUAAUAGUGGUAACAACAGAAUCAACCUUAACAUGCUAAUUCUUAUUUAGACAUUGCCCUAAUGUGAUUCUCAAACAUGCUUUUCUAAAAUCAAUGCAAGUACACGGACAUGCAUUCAUGACAAGAAAAUAAGCAGACAUGAUGUUGAAUACACAUGGCAAACAAUCAAAGAUAAGACAAGAGCAAGACAGGCAGUUAUGCAAUUCAGAAGAUUCAGUACUCUCUACUUAAACCAAUUAACACAAGUGCAACAGGUAGCAAGUAGAAUUACAUAUAUUCAAUAAUCUUCGAAAAGCAUAUGGAUUAGACACAAGAAAUUAAUAAUCACAUUAUCAAUUCAUACUAAUCCCAAUCUGUUGUUAUAUGGCAUUAUACUAUCUCUAUUACCUAAGUCAGUUUUAGAUCUAACAUGAAGUUCUAAAAGUUCUACUGACACAAGGUAGACAUUCCAUCAUAGAACAAAAUAAAAUCCUUAACAAACAAUUCAGAUUAGAUAAGCAAAUCUAAUUGUACUAGGGAAUCUGAAAGUAAGUGUUUUAACAAAGUUAUACAUGCUAGGAUCAUAACCCCUAAAACUAAGAGUCGUGUUCCAAAGGAAAGCUUCUAAUCUCACCAUUGCAAAUAAUCAAAUCCUAAAUAUUCAUACACAUGUUAAGAAUCUGCUAAAGACACAUGCACAAGAUUAUCAUCAAUCCUAGUUACCAGAACAGUGAUCUAGCAUACUGGUCCAAUCAUUAUCUACUGUGAUGCUAUCAUGCUUGUGCUUGUGUGUUAAACAAUUCUACUCAGAUAUUUAUAACAUGCUUUGAAUAUAAUGAGAUAAGUAUUGCAGACUUAGAAAGGAUUCAUUCCUGAGAUGUGCAAAGUGAAUCACCUUCAGAGAAUGCUUGGAUAGCCAGAUAACCAUAAUCAUCCUUCUCAUCAGCAACUGAUUCAGCUCACACCUUUCCUAAAAUAGCAUAAGAACUUGUUGUGAUGUUUCUUUCAAAACAUCCACUUGAAUUUCAGACAAGCCCUAUCAUCCUUGUUUGUCGAGGCUUCAAAUAUAUAUAGCAACCCUUCUUUGCUAAAGAUACCAAACAAUAUUGUGUGUACUGACCAACUCAGUUUUCAAACAACCUGUCGAACUGAACCCCGAAGAGUCUCCACUUGAAACCAAUGGAUUCCAUCUGAAUCUGACAUGACUAAACCUCUCAGACAGUGUUAUGCUAAUCCUUGAAGUUCUGUCCUCACAUUCUUCAAAAGUG
rnacentral:lncRNA from 1 species